AUUUUUCUGACAGAUGGUGUGUUUAUCAUUCCUUAUCAAUUGGAAUAAUUUUUCUUUUGCAUAAUUAUUACUAAUGAGAGGUUAUCGUUUUUUCAACACCAGGAAUUAUUUUUUAAACAGCUUUAAUAUCAAGGUCAUAUGCAAUUUCUUCAUGUUAUUUUUUCUUAAAUUGCUCAACGAAUAAAUAACAUCUCACAAAGUUCA
rnacentral:lncRNA from 1 species